CUAUUUCUGUUUAGUUCGCCAAG
rnacentral:snRNA from 1 species